ensembl:lncRNA
GUUUUUUGUUUUGUUUUCUUUUUUGUUUGGGGGUUUUUUUGUUUUUGUUUUUGUUUUUUUUGCCUUUUGGAUUAAAGAUGUCUGUAACUCUGAGAUUAAAUGGAAAAAAAAAAGGAAAAAAAAAACAACAAAAGAAAAAAAACUUAAAAAAAAAAAAACAAAACAAAAACCAACAGAACACGUGGCUUUCAAUGUUAUCUCUCCUCAUAGAAUGUGAUUGUCCAAGAACAUGCACCGAAAGUUGCUUUCAAGAGUACGAAGAUUCUUUGGAAACUAAAUAAAUUGCAGUUGUUUUUUUGGGGUUUUUUUUUUCUUUCUUUCUUUCUUUUUUUUUUUUUUUUUUCCCUCUCUUGGCUGUUCAAAUAAUGUGUGCUUUUCUUUUGUGCAGGGGGUGCUAAAGGACAAAAUAAAGAGCAGAGUUUGAUGCGUGGAGGGAGCAGAUUCCUGCAAGCACACUGAGCAAAAACGCCUUUCUGUGUAUCCGAUACACUUCAAAUUCAGCAUCCUCCCUGGUGUGCGGAGAGAAAUGGAGCUCUGUGGCCAAAAUCCAUCAGUUGGUGUUUGCAUAUAACUUGUCUUUCCAGCAUCGUUCUCUUUUUCCGCUUCGGUGAGGUCAAACGUUAAUGAAGUUAAGGUCUCUGCUGAUGCUGAGGACGGGCCUUAGGUCUCAAGAGUCUUUCUUUGCAAAAGGACCUUUUGACAAACCUGUGUUUCUCACGUGUGUUGCAUUGACUGUACCUUCCAUAGCACUGUGCUGCAUGGCUGCCCCAUUUUCAGGCCAAGAGCAUUCCCUGCGUGCUCCGAAACUGUCAAACUCCCCUUAGUUCAUGUCCAGUCUGUGGGUGGCACUGGCAGAGCAGCUUGUUUUGCUACUUCUGCUCCAAAUAUAUAUCUAUUAUUACUGUUCUUGAUCAUUCAGUAUAUGAUUGUGUAUGUGAAGGAGCGUUUUAAUUAAAAAUGUAUAUGGACAUCUGUAUAUGGUAAGAAUUAUUGGAGCUGGAGGAAUCUGGACGUGGCACACCUUGAGGUAGGGGCUGUGGGCAGCUGUGAUGGCCCCAGGGCACAGAUUGCUGUGUGAGUGUGGAUCACCCAACGCUGUUGUGCACGAACUGCUGCUAAGUGUCCGUUAGCACUCCCAUGCUGCACCAGUUGUACCACUGCGUGAUGCUGAAUGUAUGAUUUGCACAGCCAGCUCCGGGGAAGGGGAGUUCCGAACGUUGGAUGCACAGCAAAGCGACCUCCUGGUGUGACCACGGACGGCCACGUCCCCACACAGCCCCAGGCAAUGGCAGUCCAUCCCUGCAUGGUGCUCUUGUGGGUGAGGUGCUGCACUUUGGGAUCUCACAGCAGAGCGUGUGCCCGUGUGCGGAUCCCAUAGGACACUGUCAGCUCUCUGCUGGACCCGUGGGUGGCUUUGGAGUGGUAACGUACCCAUGGAACCUUAAUGGCUCUGGGAGCAGCCCAGCCUUUGCCCUCUCCCCUAUCCCAAGGGUCUCUUCCCAAGGGCUCUCUUCCAGUAGCGUUGUUCUCUUGGGGUUGGGAGAGGCACCUCCACGGCCUGCCCACCCACUGUAGCUUUCCUGAGGGAGCACUGGCUGUGAAUGCCCACGUUCUGGUGGGCUCUGGGUGUCUUCCUCUGGCACACAUCAAUCUCAGGUUAACAUUUUGUGUUGCAAGCUGUAAUUAGCCCACAUUACAGCCCAUCUAGCCCAUGCAGAGACAGCAGAACUGACCAUUUUAACUUAAAUGCUCCCACCGUUCUCUGUAAUGAAGGUUGGAAGUGACGGCGGUGCUCCAUCCCAUGUGUGCUCCUGGUGCUCAUUUCUUACUGACUGAUGCAUAGGAAGCAAGUUGCUUGUACAUUUCUCUGAUGGAAACGUGGUCUCGGAGCAGCCACGAUGUCAGGGUUAUUAAAAUGUUACAGAAUGAGCCAGAAGGUUCCUUUGCUUUCAGUAAGUACAAUGACUAGGAGAGGUGACUUGCCAUGGUGCUGCUGAGUGAUGCUGAGAACCCCCCUAUGCCCAAUGCCACCUCCACCCAAUGCUGGA